ACCUCGAUCAGUAUGUCCCGUUCCCC
rnacentral:rRNA from 1 species